UGCCGAGGGAGACGGCUGCAGCUUUGGCACUGGUCAGUGUGGAACAGUCGUGACCGUUCCUGGCCGUUCAGCCGGUGCAGGGAGGGCUGAGGCCGGCGGGGCAGCCGCUCACCUGCAGCCGCCGCCCAUUGUUGCUGCCGGGCGCUGGCAGCCGGGGGCAGUUGUGGCAGGGGAGCGGGCGGAGAAGAAGCCGGCGCCGGUUGCUAGGAGACUACAGAGCUGCAAGGUGAACACCACCACCACUACCACCAGCACCACUACCAGAUCGGCGGCUCCCCAAGGCUGGCUUCCCACACUGCACAGGCAUAUCAGCCUGGAUAUAGUCUCUCUGUAAGAAGUGUGACAUUUACAGCUGAAGAAUUACAGUUUAACACUGCAAAAGCUCUCCCUCAUCUGAACCGUCAUUCAAAGUGCAGGAUGAAAGUAGCCAAAUAGAAGUUUUUUGUCACGUUGUCUGCAGGACUCCUACAAGAUUCUUCUGAAACUUGGGUGUAUCUGUCUUGGACUGGCCCUAAAAAGAUGAAGCAGUAAUCUGGCAAAAAGAACUCAAAACACAGAAAGAGAAGACAUUUAAGACUAAUCUGCAAGAUUUUCAGAUUCACUGAUAAUAUGGAAACCAGAGUCUGCUUACUGUUGUCUGACCUAGUCAAAGCAAACAAGGGAGACUUAGAAGCAACGUGACUCAAAAAGAAGUAUUUUGAACCAUGGAAGCUAUCUUGUGCACCUCAAAAUAAUGCUUCUUGGCACUUCAUUUGGAGGAACAUACCUGAUGUCUGCCACAAUCUGGGAUAUGACAAGGAGAGCAGAGGCUAGCAAAAAGGAAGGAGUCCCAAAAUCUUGGUGUAUUUCUCAUGGUAUGCACGGGAGAAAAGACAUCAGAAAAACACAUGCAAAUGCAUUUCUCUUCUGCAGAGAGCCUGGGACAAAAUUGGAAACAGCUGUAACCCCUUCCUUGGUGAGAUACAGUACAGCUCUAUUUCUACAGGGUUGAUAUCUCAGCAAAAUAAAUUGGGCAACUCUUGAUCUAAGGUAUUAGUAUUUUGUUAUCAUAAUGUUCUUCUGACACCCACA